CCCAAGGCUUUUCUCAAAGCCAACCAGUUAACCCUUGACCCUAACU
rfam:Heterocephalus glaber contig151068, whole genome shotgun sequence.